GACGAACGCUGGCGGCGUGCUUAACACAUGCAAGUCGAACGGAAAGGCCCUGCUUUUGUGGGGAGCUCGAGUGGCGAACGGGUGAGUCACAUGUGAGUAACCUGCCCUUGACUUUGGGAUCACUUCAGGAAACUGGGGCUAAUCACGGAUAGGAGCUCCUGCUGCAUGGUGGGGGUUGGACAGUUUCGGCGGUUGGGGAUGGACUCGUGGCUUAUCAGCUUGUUGGUGGGGUAGUGGCUUACCAAGGCUUUGACGGGUGGCCGCACUGAGGGGGUGACCGGCCACAGUGGGACAGAGAUACGGCACAGACUCCUACGGAAGACAGCAGUAGGGAAUAUUGCACAAUGGGCGGAAGCCGGAUGCAGCAACGCCGCGUGCGGGAUGACGGCCUGCGGGUUGUAAACCGCAUUCGCCUGUGACGAUGCGUGGGUGACGGUAAUGUGUAAAGAAGCACCGGCUAACUACGUG
rnacentral:rRNA from 1 species